rnacentral:rRNA from 1 species
CUGAACCUUCGGGGAACGAUAACGGCGUCGAGCGGCGGACGGGUGAGUAAUGCCUGGGAAAUUGCCCUGAUGUGGGGGAUAACCAUUGGAAACGAUGGCUAAUACCGCAUAAUAGCUUCGGCUCAAAGAGGGGGACCUUCGGGCCUCUCGCGUCAGGAUAUGCCCAGGUGGGAUUAGCUAGUUGGUGAGGUAAGGGCUCACCAAGGCGACGAUCCCUAGCUGGUCUGAGAGGAUGAUCAGCCACACUGGAACUGAGACACGGUCCAGACUCCUACGGGAGGCAGCAGUGGGGAAUAUUGCACAAUGGGCGCAAGCCUGAUGCAGCCAUGCCGCGUGUAUGAAGAAGGCCUUCGGGUUGUAAAGUACUUUCAGCAGUGAGGAAGGUGGUGUGCUUAAUACGUGCAUCAUUUGACGUUAGCUGCAGAAGAAGCACCGGCUAACUCCGUGCCAGCAGCCGCGGUAAUACGGAGGGUGCGAGCGUUAAUCGGAAUUACUGGGCGUAAAGCGCAUGCAGGUGGUUUGUUAAGUCAGAUGUGAAAGCCCGGGGCUCAACCUCGGAAUUGCAUUUGAAACUGGCAGACUAGAGUACUGUAGAGGGGGGUAGAAUUUCAGGUGUAGCGGUGAAAUGCGUAGAGAUCUGAAGGAAUACCGGUGGCGAAUGCGGCCCCCUGGACAGAUACUGACACUCAGAUGCUAAAGCGUGGGGAGCAAACAGGAUUAGAUACCCU